rnacentral:rRNA from 1 species
AAUCGAACUCGGAGAUAGCUGGUUCUCCCCGAAAUAGCUUUAGGGCUAGCCUCAUGUUAGAUAUCCGGAGGUAAAGCACUGAAUGGCCUAGCGUCCGAGAGGAUAGCGAAGCCUAUCAAACUAAGAAUGCCGGAAUAUUGAUGCAUGGGAGUCAGACAGUGUGAGAUAAAUCUCAUUGUCAAAAGGGAAACAGCCCAGAUCUACAGCUAAGGUCCCAAAUUGUAUCUAAGUGGAAAACGAUGUGGAAAUACGCAGACAACCAGGAUGUUGGCUCAGAAGCAGCCACUCAUUUAAAGAGUGCGUAAUAGCUCACUGGUCGAGCGUCUCUGCGCGGAAAAUUUAACGGGGCUAAGAUACAAACCGAAGCUUAGGCUGCACUUUUAGUGCGGGGUAGGGGAGCGUUGUGUAAGCGGAGAAACAGUAGCGAAAGCGGCUGUGGAGUUUACAGAAGUGAGAAUGCCGGAAUGAGUAGCGCGAAUGAUGUGAGAAUCAUCAUGGCCGGAAACCUCAGGUUUUUGGAGGAAGGUUCGUCCGCUCCAAGUUAGGCGGGAGCUAAGGUGAGGCCGAAAGGCGUAGCCGAUGCACAGACGGUAGAGAUUCCGUCCCCACCGAAAGAUUUAAGCGCAGGGACACUUUUAGAAGGUCGGAGCCAGGUGUUGGUUCUGGUAGAGAUCGAGGGAAAUUUAGUACCGAAGUCCGGCUGGAUAAGAGGCGAGAAAAGCUGCGUGUAUAUCUAAGGUGCCCGUACCGCAAACCGACACAGGUAGGUAGGAAGAAGAUUCUAAGGCCAACGGGAGAAGGGUUGUUAAGGAACUCGGCAAGUUGACCCCGUAACUUCGGAAUAAGGGGUGCUCAUGAAAGUGAGCCGCAGAGAAUAGGCCCAGGCAACUGUUUACCAAAAACACAGGUUUGUGCUAAAUCGAAAGAUGACGUAUACGAGCUGACGCCUGCCCGGUGCUGGAAGGUUAAAAGGAGAUGUGCAAGCAUUGAAUUGAAGCCCCAGUGAACGGCGGCCGUAACUAUAACGGUCCUAAGGUAGCGAAAUUCCUUGUCAGGUAAGUUCUGACCCGCACGAAAGGCGUAACGAUUUGGGCGCUGUCUCGGCAGCAGACUCGGUGAAAUCUUAGUACCUGUGAAAAUGCAGGUUACCCGCAACUAGACGGAAAGACCCCAUGGAGCUUUACUGUAGCCUGAUAUUGAAUUUUGAUCAAAGAUGUACAGGAUAGGUGGGAGGCUGUGAGACGUGUACGCCAGUAUACGAGGAGCCGCUGUUGGGAUACCACUCUUGUUUGAUUGAAGUUCUAACCUGCAUCCAUGAACUGGGUGAGGGACCGUGUCAGGUGGGCAGUUUGACUGGGGCGGUCGCCUCCUAAAGAGUAACGGAGGCGCCCAAAGGUACGCUCAGAUUGGAUGGAAAUCAAUCGACGAGUGCAAAUGCAGAAGCGUGCUUGACUGUGAGACAAACAAGUCGAACAGGGACGAAAGUCGGGAUUAGUGAUCCGGCGGUGCCGAAUGGAAGGGCCGUCGCUCAACGGAUAAAAGCUACCCUGGGGAUAACAGGCUGAUCUCCCCCAAGAGUUCACAUCGACGGGGAGGUUUGGCACCUCGAUGUCGGCUCAUCGCAUCCUGGAGCUGAAGUCGGUUCCAAGGGUUGGGCUGUUCGCCCAUUAAAGCGGUACGCGAGCUGGGUUCAGAACGUCGUGAGACAGUUCGGUCCCUAUCUGUUGUGGGCGUUGGAGAUCUGAGGAGAGCUGUCCUUAGUACGAGAGGACCGGGAUGGACCUACCGCUGGUGCACCAGUUGUUCCGCCAGGAGCAUAGCUGGGUAGCUAAGUAGGGAAGGGAUAAGCGCUGAAAGCAUCUAAGCGCGAAGCCUACUCCAAGAUGAGAUCUCCCAUUCGU